GGGGUUGUGGCUCAGUGGUAGAGCACUUGCCUAGCAUGUAUGAGGCACUGGGUUUGAUCCUCAGCACCACA
rnacentral:tRNA from 1 species